rnacentral:tRNA from 1 species
GGGGCGGUGGCGGAACAGGCAGACGCAGCAGACUUAAAAUCUGCCGGCCGGAAGGUCGUGCGGGUUCGAUCCCCGCCCGCCCCA